ACUUCAAGUUAAGGAUGAGUGAAAGAAGCUGACGUGGAAGCCAGGGAUACUAAUGGCAGGCAUUAUUUUCCAGAAAGGUCCUGGGUAAGAGGUCAUUGUUCUGUAUCACGCUGAGUUUUUACUGCAAGAAACCUAUGAAAAGUACCCAUUACUAAUAGCACUCAGGUAAGUCCUCACAGAUGAAUUUAUUUCACUUUUGUUCUCACUAAUUUGUGAACAUUGCUUAGGAAACCCCAAGCUGAUGGAGCAUUAAGUGCUUUCAGAUAAUGAGAUACUUAGUAAUCCAACUAAAAUAUCUGUUUAAAGAGGAAUGUGAGCAUAGGGCUUCCACUAAUUUGUUUUUAGAAUGAUGGCUUAGGAUCACUUACAAAGUAACAUAUGCUCAAAUCUAAAUAAACAAGGUAAACAGCAAUGUAAUUAAUUAUUGAUGCAAUACAAAGUAAUAACCAGAAUUGUGUGCUGUUAAAACAAUGUACUGCAUUUAAUAACUCAAUUUGUGCCCCAGAGAAUAAGAUUACUUUUCUACAUACUUAAAUGCUGGGGUGUUUGUACUUAGGUUUACAUAUUAUUCUUAAACAAAUAUUUAGGUAAGUUCUCAGUGAUAUGCUGCUUUCAUUUCCUGGAAUUUGAAUGGCCUGAUCAGGUAACCAGGGAUGCUGUUGUCAUUACACAUAAGGGCAAGGCAUCUUUUACCAUCUCCUAACUUUUCUAGGUGAGGCAAUGCAGGGGAAACUAACCUUGGAGUCCAACACACCUGGGUCCUCAUCUCAGCUCAGCUGUGUAAUUUUGGUCAUCAUCUCACUAGGAUUCUGCAGUGUCAUGUAUACACUAGAUCUUAGCCAAAAGGCCACGAAGCGAUACAUUGUCAUGUAUAAUAUGGGGGUUUUCUUUUUUCUUUCUUUCUUUUUUUUUUUGAGACAGGGUCUUGCUCUGCUGCCCAGGCAAUGGUACAAUCAUGGCUCACUGCAGCCUCAGCCUCCCUGGGCUCAGGUAACUCUCCCACCUCAGCUCCCUUGACUCCACUGCUGGAACUACAGGCACGCACCACCACACCUGACUAAUUUUUUUCUUUCUUCUUUUUUUUUUUUUUGUAUUUUUUUUGACAUGGAGUCACGCUCUGUCACCCAGGCUGAAGUGCAGUGGCACAAUCUUGGCUCACUGCAAGCUCCACCUCCUGGUUCAUGCCUUUCUCCUGCCUCAGCCUCCCGAGUAGCUGGGACUACAGGCGCCCGCCACCACGCCCAGCUAAUUUUUGUAUUUUUAGUAGACACGGAGUUUCACCGUGUUAGCCAGGAUGGUCUCGAUCUCCUGACCUUGCGAUCUGCCCGCCUCGGCCUCCCAAAGUGCUGGGAUUACAGGUGUGAGCCACUGGGCCCGGCUCCUAAUUAUGUAUUUUGCAUUUGUUAAAAUUAACUUGCAGUCUGUGAAUACACAUGAAUGAGAAGAGCAAGCUAAGAAAAAAUUAGGUGUUCUGAGUAAAAGCAGCUGCAUUAAAAUGGCGAAUUUCACCAAUUUUAUUGACGUGAGAAAAAGGCAUGCUUUAUUUUUAAACGAAAAGUAAAUGUAAAGAAUAGAAGUUAUAUAUGAUUUAAGAAUCUACUGUUCUUUAAAAUACAAAGAACUAAGAACUUUUAACUUUGGUACAAGUUGGCAGCUUAAUUUAUCUGAUCUAUAAAAUGUUUUUAUGCCUACAAAACAAUCUGAAAUUUCUCCCAAGGGACGUUUACAUUAUUUUAAAGUAGUGUUGUAUAUGGUACUCCCCCGAGUCUCGGGUGCUCAAAUCAUAAACUAUGCUCACAGUAACAAGUUCCCUCAGAAUUAAUUUAUAUUUCCAGCUUGGACUUCUAACCCAAAUCUCAGAACUGUACAUCCACUUGCCUACUUAGCAUUUCUACUUGGAUGUCUAGUGGCCACUUCAAACGUAGCAUGUUAACACUGAGCCCCUGAUAGUGUCCCACACCUGCUCCUCCUGCUCGCUAUACCCCAUGUCUCAUCUGUCAGUAAAGUAUGUCCAGAAUCCAUUUAUCUUCAAAGUAUAUCUAGAAUCUGUUUAUCUUCAAAGUACAUACAGAAGCCACCCGUCUUCAAAGUAUAUCGAGAAUCCAUCUAUCUUCAAAGUAUAAACACAAUCCAUCUCUCUUCAAAGCAUAUCUAGAGUCUGACUACUUCUCACCACCUCUGCUGCGAUCACCCAGGUCCAAGUCACUAUCACCUCUCCCACCUGAAUUAUUGUAUAGCUUCUUAGCCAAAUGGUUCCCCUUCAAUUUAUUCUUAAAACAGCAGCCGGAGUAAUUCCGUUAACAUGUAAGUCACAUCAUGCCAUUCCUCUGCUCAAACUCUCCAAUGGCACCCCAGCUCCAAUGGCACCCCAGGAAAAAUGUCAAGUCUUUCUAUCAGCCUUCCUGGCCUUACUGGCCUUCCUGACCCUGAUCCACCCACAGCUCUGACCGGAUCUCCUUCUGCUCUCCUCUUCACACACGCUUCACUCCAGCCUUACUGGCCACCUCCUUGCUCCUCUGAACACACUAGGCAAGCUCCCAUCAACAGGUCUCUGCAUCUGCUGUUCCCUCUGCCUGGAAGUCUCUCCUCCCAGCUGUCUGCGUGGUUCACCUUCCUUCAAUUCUUUCUUCAAAUGCCACCUUCUCAGUGAGGCCUUCCCUGGCCAUUCUAGAUAAGACCCCCUACUACACCUCCGAACACUCCCUCUCUCCACAUUGUGCUUUUUCUCCACAGCAUUUAUCACCAACUAAUGCACUAUAUACUUUGCUUCUUUAUCAUUAUUUUUAGUCUGUCUCCCCCCACUAGAAUUAAAACUCCAUGAAGGCUUGCAUUUUUGUCUUUUUUGCUUACUAUUUUACCUGUCAAGACAAGGAUGGUGCUCAGCAUAUUGUAGGCGCCCAACAGAUGUUUGCUGAAUAAAUGAACUUCUCCGAAAUGUAAUAAUACCUGAUAAUAUGUUUAGCCUGAUCAAUAUUAAUUAAGUACAACAGACAGAAGUCCCAGAAUUGUCAUCAAAUUAGUAGAACACUUUGGGAGGGAUAACAAAUUGCUCAUUCAUUCAUUAUUCCAGUCACUGGAAAAACAGAAAUGAACAAGUACAUAUGAUACCUGUCCUCAUGGAGCUUGCAGUCAAAGUGAAGGUGUCCACUCCCCUGCCCCAUAACCAGAACCAAACAGUGCCUGUGGGUAAGGCCAAGGUCACCUGGCCCCCAGUUCUCCAAGCUAACAACAUGUGAAUUAUCCUCAAUUCUUUCUUCUCCCUCACCUUCCAAAACAAUUACCCAAUUUGUCAUCAAGACCUCUUGAGUCUACCUGAGGAACGUUCCAAAUGCAGUCCAACUCUCCAACUCCACUAUCAUUCAAUUCCUCAUCCUACAUCAUCUGCCACUUGAGAACUGCAGCAUUCUCCAAACUAGGAUCUCACCACAGGCUCUCCUACUCCAAUCUGUCUUACAACCUUAGCUGGAGUUACCUGCCCCAAAACAAACACUGUUCCUUUUCUUAAACAUUUUUUGGCCAGGCACGGUAGCUCCCACCUUUAAUCCCAGCACUUCGGAAGGCCGAGGCGGGCAGAUCACAAGGUCAAGAGAUCAAGACCAUCGUGGCCAACAUGGUGAAACUCUGUCUUUACUAAAAAUACAAAAAUUAGCCAGGCAUGGUGGUGCGCCCCUGUAGUCCCAGCUACUCGGGAGACUGGGGCAGGAGAAUCCGCUGAACCCGGAAGGCGGAGGUUGCAGUGAGCCCAGAUCGCGCCACUGCAUUCCAGCCUGGUGACAGAGUAAGACUCUGCUUCAAAAACAAAAACAAACAAACAAAAAACCACAUUUCUUCAACCGCUUCCCAUUGCCUACAAAAGGAUAUAUACAAGGUCCUGCACAGUCUGGUCCCAAACAUACCUUGACAAGUACAAACACAGCUCUGGUUUUUGGUUUUGCUUUCUUUUGGGGUUUUUUUUUUUUUGGUUUUGUGUUUGUUUGUUUUGCCAGAUACCAUACCCUGCCUGGCUGCUUGGCAAAUACCCAUUAAUCCAUUAUUCAAUACUCAACUAAAAUGUUACCCCUUCUGUGAAGCUCUCUCCUAUUCCCUGCACAACAGCACAUUUCCCUCCUCUAAGCUCCUAUAACAUUUGUUAUACUUCUGUCACAGCACUGAAAAACAUGAUCUGUUAUCAUUUGCAUAGCUUCCUUGGUCACUACUGAAAGGACCAUGACUUAGUUAUUUUCGGAUACUCUAUGCUUAGUAGAGGGCCUACAACAGAAAUGCACUCAAUAAAUAACUUGAAUAAAUGAAUGAAUAGCAUUGUCACAAAGAGCUUUCUUACACGGCCCUGAAAUGGAUUCCCUGGCAUAGGUUCUACCUACUGUUACUGGUUCUGCUUGAGAUCACAGAGAACAUAACCUACUCUUGUUCACAUGGAUGCCUUCUGAUUUGAAAGCAGACAUCAAGUCCUUCUGGGUCUUUCUUCUCCCAGACAAGCAUGAGUAGGUCUUUCAGCUUUUGUCACAUAUCACAAGCUCACAUCUCUUUAACACCUGGUCAUGCUUCUUCUGAAUUCAUCCUAGAUUAUUUAUAUCCCUUUAGAACGGUGGCACCUAAAACCAAGUGAAUAUUAAUUCCUUUGUUGUAGUCACAACUCUUCAAGUAAUCUAACCUAAAAGAGAAUUAAGAUUUGGGGGUUUACACUAACUGUUGGUUCAUACUGCGCUCACUAUGGACUGAAAAUUACUUUUAAAUGUUUUAAAUAAGAUUUGUUUGCUUUCAUUAUGAGUAUAAUGCUCAUUCAUAUUUUUGUAAGCUAAAAAUAGGAAGAAAAACAAAUCUCAUUAACCAAAGACAUCUAAACCACUGCAUAUAUUUUGGUAAAUUAGUAUUUUAAUGCAAAGGGGGUUGUGUUUUACACUCCUCCAACCAUAUGAUAUAUUCACAAUUUAUACAUAUUGCAACAUAUAAUAUUUUUAAGUAUUUCUAGUUGACAGUAACUGCCAUUUUUACCUAUUAACCAUAUGCUAUUCUAACAACAAUCCUGCAAGUGUAUUUGUGAUUUAGAGAAGAGCAUACUGAAGCUUAGGAAAAUUAAGUGACUUGCUCAAGGCCAUGUGUUAUUUUUCCCUCAGUUUAUCAGUAAGGAAUGUUAAAGAGCACAUAUAGGGCAUAGUUUGCUGAAUUUGGACACAUGGAUAGUCCUAACCCCCUUAGAGAUCAAUACAUAGAAUAUUUCCAUCACACCAGAGGGUUCUCUUCUGCUCAUUCCCAGUUAAUUCUCCCACCCAGGGGUAACCACUAUUCUGCCUUCUAUGACGAUCAGUCACUAAUCAAUUUGCCUACUCUUCCAUCAAAUCAGUGGAAUCAUUUAGUAUGUACUCUUUUGGUCUAUCUUCCUUUGUUCAACAUAGUGUUAGUGAGAAUCAUUCAUGUUGUUGUGUGUGUCACUAAUUUGUUAUUUCAUUAUCACCAUACAGUAUUCUAUAUAGGAAUAUACCACAAUUUAAUUACAUUAACUAUUAUAGUUACAUAAUGACAUCAUAUAAUUAUAUUAAUUAUUACAUUAGAUUAUACCACGGUUAAGCCAUUCUCCUGUUUAUGAACAUUUGGAUUAUUUUCAGUUUUGGUUUAGUUUGAAUGAAGCUACUCUUUUUACACUUUUAAAAGUCUCUUGGUAGACAUGAAUUCUUCUCCUGAGUAUAUACCUAGGAGUUAAAUCGCUAGGUCAUAGGAUAGGUAUAGAGUUAGCCUGAGGAGAUACUGCCAGUUUUCCAAAGUGGCUGAAGUAAUUUACAUGUUUCCCAGCAAUGUGUAAGAGUUCCAGUUGCUUCAUAUCCUCACCAAUAUUUUUUUCCUUUUUUUUAAAUGGUUCAUUCUGAAUCCUCACCAAUAUUUGAUUUUUGUCAGUUUUUAAAAUUUUAGCCAUUCUGAUGAGUGUGUAAUAUUAUCUCAUUGUAGUUUUAGCUCCCAUUUUCUUGAUGUGCAAUGAUGUUGUGGACUUUUUAAAUGUUUAUUGAUCAUUUGGUUAUCUUCUUUUCAAAGUGCCUGCCUUUUCUUUUUUUUUUUUUAACUGGGCUGUUUGUCUUUUUUUUUCUUUUGGUAGUUCUUUAAAUGUUCUAGCUAUGAGUGCUUUGUCAAAUCUUAUAUUAUAUAGGACCAUAAUAUAUAAUAAAAAUCUUUUCCCAGACUGUGGCUCAUGUUCAUUGUUAAUGGCUAUGCAUUACUCAAUUAGAUCUAACCACCGUUUAAUGAUUCUCUUACUGCUGGACAUUUAGAUUAUUUUCUUUCUUUCUUUUUGCAUCCCUAGGUGGGCACAAAUAGACUAUUUCUAAUUUUUGCUUUAAUUAAACACUGAUAACCAAAAUUUAAAGCUUUAUUUGUAUCUAAAAUCUUUCCUUCAUCCAUACUCACAGAAGUUGAAUUACUGAAUUAAUGUACACAACCAUUUGGUAUUGAUGCAGACAGAGCCAAACUGGUUCAGAAAAAUUCUAUCAGUUGAUACUGGUGCCCAAUAAUGCAUCAUAAUACCAACUCACCAUGUCCUCACCAACUCUGGCUUUUCCCCUAUUUUUUAUCAGUCUGAUAGGACAAAAAAUUUGUAUUUCAUUGUUUUAAUGUUUAACUCAGUGAUUACUAGUAAAAUCGAAAUUACUUUUGUUUAGUCAUUUAUAUUCUCAUUUUCAUAAACGGUCUUCAUUUUGUGUAUGCAUUUAUCAAGUGCUUUUUAGAGUUCUUCUCAUUCACUAAGGUAUUGUGCUUUUCUUUUCAUAUAAUACUUUACAACAUUUUUAUUUUUAUAUUUACUGCAAUCAUUUCCCAAGAUGUAAUGUUCUUUGUGCUUUUCAAAUUUUUAUGUAGUUGGAUCGGUGAUCACACCCAAGCUUAGAAAUAUUUUUUCCCUACAAUAUUCCCCAUAAAUCUAAGUAUUUCCCUAUAAAUAUUCAUGUCAAACUAUAUUCUUAAAAUUAAAAAAAUUAACUCUUUAAUGCCUUAGCAACCUUUUUGGGGGUACUAUUAACAUACUGGUCUCAUCUCUAACUCUUAUCUUUUUCCAAAUUAAUAACCAGCUCUGGCAAUACCAUUUAUCAAAUAUUCUUUUCCUCUUCAGAUUUAUGAUGCAUACCUUAUCAUUUAUUAAAUUUUUAGACACGAAAUAGUCUGCUUCUGGACUGUCUUUUCAGUUCCAUCGAUUUGGUCUUAGCCUUAUAAUUAUUUCAUUUGACCAAUAUUUACUAAGCACCUGCAUCACGUUAGAUUGUAGGGAUAAAACAGGGAACGAGACAUAGUGACUAGAUAGUCACUAUUUUUAUGGUGCUUGAAGGCUAGUGAGAAGAUGGAGACAAGUAAACAGACAGACGGGAAAAGUACAGGCAAGAGCUCAGGCUGGAGAAGUAUUAAGGGCGAGAUCACACAGGAUAUUAAAGAUCUAAAAAAUGAGUUUGCACUUUAUCUUGAGAGCAAAGUAAGCCACCGAAGGGCUUCAUCGGGGGCAAAGUGUUCAGAUAGGCAUUUUAGAAAGAUCACUUUAUCUAUAAGAAAAUAAAAAUAAUUUACUAGAGGAAGUCAGGAGUACAGUCAAGGAGCCCACUUAAGGGACUAUGAGGAAUAUUAACAACUGACUCAAUACUCUUCUUCAAACUUUUCUAUGCUACUUUCACAUAUUUAGUUUCCACAUAAACUUUGAAAUUGUUUAGUCAAUUUCCCUCCUAUACACCCAACUCCAAUCCAAUUGUGAUUUUAUUUGGAAGUACACUAAAUGCUUAAUAUAUGAAAAAUUACAACUUGAUUACAUAUAAUUUUCCAUAAGGUUUUUAAACAAUUGCUAUUCAGCCAUGUUUCCUUCCAUCAUAUAUUUUUGCAAGAAUAACAUAAGUUGUUAGCAAAACAAAAAACAAGAAAAACAAGCAGAGUAGGAACACCUUAAUAGUUUGUCUCAAAGUACAGGAAAUGUCAAGAACUAAAGGAAAGCAAAAGCAAAAAGGACUAAGUCUAAGCCAAGAAGGUAGACUAAGCUGUUGGAGAGAACUAUAUGGACAAUUUGUUAAUUCAGUGUUAAACAGAGGUAUACCUUGGUCCCAAGGAAGAAAGAACCUUAUUUUUCCAAGAGCCAAGAAGUGAAUAAAGAAAAAACUUCAACCUGAAUUCAAAGCAAGCUGGAGCCUUAUCAAAAUAAUUGUAACCUAUAGUGGCAGGGCCUAAGAACCAAAGGAGUGGAAAAGACCUGCCAGAGAAUUUAAGUGCUUUUAAAUUGGGCCAGACUAAGUUAGGAGUAAUUGCGUGUGGCUUUAAUCAGUUUGAGUUUGGAUUCUCUCAUACCAUAGUGCAGUAAGGCUGUGAACCUGGAAACACUGUGAGCUGGAAUAUGGACAGCAAGUUGAAGGUAAGGGGCAAUUCCAGAGAAAGGCAGAGGAUGAAGGGAAGCAUGGGGAAGGAAGCUCACCCUAUAGGAAGAGAUUAAUCCUCCUCAACCUCUUCAGUACAAACAAGACAGGACACAUAAUUCUGUGAGUGGACAAAACAGAGAUACUGCUCAUAUUUUUAGGCCUGUAUUUACUCUCAGGAUUUUUAAUGCAUUUUUUCCACAGGGGAUUUGUUAUUCUGAAAAUGGGUUGAGUCUUAUUUUGCAACGUGAAUAGUGAGAUAUUUAAUACAAGGCAAAAUUUAAGAAAUUGAAGAUCUGACGGUCUGACAAAACUACCAGACACAUAAUGCCAAAAAGACAUAGUUCUCAUUCACUUUCCUUUCCAGGGCUGCCAUUCAAAGCCGUCUCCUUUUAGAAAGAAAGAAUAUUUACACAAAAGAUCUUGUUUCAAUUACAAUUUUCUUGUUCCAUCUUUUUAUGUGGGCAGAGCAUAAUUCCUUCAUUCAGGAGAUGUUUACCCCACUGGAGGCACUAGGGCUAUAAAGAUGAAAAGAGAGAUGUAGUUCUUAUCCUCCUGGGGUUCAUAUACAACAGAUUAUACAGAUAAAUAAUUAGAUAAUUACAACAAAAAGCCCAGGGUGUUACUGGCGCACACUGGAGAGGAUCUGGGGAGUUCAGGAAGCAGCCUGGAGGAAAUGGCAUCUAAAGGAAGGUUGCAAGGGUAUCUCAUACGACCCAAGGGUUAGGACCAAGAUAAUUAGAACCAGAUUCUGGAACAGAGCUUUUCUCAACGUGGGAGUGAUUUACAAGUAUGACCUCUCAGAACACUGCAGAGUACAGCUUUUUACCUGGGUUCAGAUUACAGGUGUGUCCGCCAGCCAUAAGCACAGCCUUGUCCAUCUCCUUCAAUGGGCAGUAUUUAUAUUACCAUUUGCUAUGUGUGUCAUGACAUAAAAAAGGUUAGGAAUCACUGCUUGUAAAGAACUAAGGAAAUGUUUUUGCCUUUUGGCUAUAAUUCAUUCUUAUUCUCUCCCUCUCUUACUCUCUCGUCUUUCUUUCCCCUCAUUCUUCUCUACUCUUUUCUACUCUUCAACCCUCAGAACUUGACUCCCAACAAUUCCAAAACAUACACAUUCUGAAUUUCAGCCACCAAAACAGAGAGAAAGAUGAUUUCAUUUCAAAUAUAAAGUCCUGGGGAAGAACUGUGGUUGGUCCAGCUUGAGUCAGAUGCCCAUCCUUGGACAAAUCAACAGUGACCAAAAGGCAGGAAUGUCUUGUGCAGAUGAUCCCUAACUUAUGAUGGUUUGAUUUUUUUGACUUCAUAAUGGUGCAAAAGUGAUACACAUUCAGUAAAGACCAUACUUCAAGUACCCAUAAAACCAUUCUGUUUUUCAUUUUCAGAAUGGUAUUCGAUAAAUUACAGGAGAUAUUUAACACUUCAGUAUAAAAUAGGCUUUAUGUUAGAUGAUUUUGACCAACUGUAGGCUAAUGCAAAUGUUCUAAACAUGUUCAAGGUAGGCUAGGCUGAGCUACGAUGUUUGGUAGGUUAAGUGUAUUAAAUACCUUUUUGACUUACAAUAGUUUCAACUUAUGAUGGGUUUAUCAGGCUGUAACCCCAUUGUAGGCCAGGCACAGUGGUUCACACCUAUAAUUCCAGAGCUUUGGGAGACCUAGGCAGACAGAUGACUUGAGCCCAGGAGUUCAAGACCAGCCUGGGUAACAUGGCAAAAAUCCCACCUUUACAAAAAAUAGAAAAAAUUAGCCAGGCACGGUUGCAUGCUGUAGUCCCAGCUACUCAGGAAGCUGAGGUGAGAGAAUCACUUGAGCCUGGGGAGGUCAAGACUGCAGUGAGCUAUGGUUGUGCCACUGCACUCCAGUUUGGGUGACAGAGUGAGACCCUGUCUCAAAAAAAAAAAAAAUACACAACCCCUUUGCAAGUCAAGAAGCAUCUGCAUUUAAAUUGUAGCUCCCAGAGUUACCAUCUGGCUGGAUUGGAGAAAAGGGCACUAUUCAGAUAAAAUAAUAGGUGUCUACUACAAAGUUUGGAUGCUGAAGGGAAGCAUCUGGGAGACAGGACAAGGAUGAAGAUUCAAAAGAGUAAAAAGAUAAUUUCAGAGAUCAAUGUCCCUGUGAGGGUGAAAAAAGACAGGACUCACGAUAGGGUAGGCAGAAUUAGCCUAAUAGAGGAGGAUAAGCCCCCAUCUCCUAUUGCAACAGGAAGGAAGGAAGAAAGAAUGGAUAAAGAUGCGGUCUUUAGAUGUGCCAGAGGAAGUGGGAGUUCAGGUCUGCAGGGUAUUUCUCUGGGAAGCAGGAAGGUGAUGCAGGAGACAGGGAGUAGGCUAGUAAUAAAAGAUUAGUGAAAAGGCUAAGAAAGAGACAUUACACAAAAUAAGAGAGAGAGAGAGCAGUCUAGGGAAGCACAGAAGUAACGUCCAUAAAUUUGAAGAUCUGAGUGAGAUUAGCAAUUAUACAUUUAUUUGUACCCAUCUGUGCAGUAGUAGUAUUUUCUCCAGCAAGUCUCGGCAGCCCCAAUAUUGGAUCUGUAGGGACAAAUUAAGAUGAGCCAUUUGAUAGUUCCAGGACUGGGGUUUUGCCAGGUGACGGUCCCUGAAGGUCAGCGGAACAAGGCAGUUUAAGACUGGGAAGACAGGGAUACAAUGGAGCUUGGACUGAGAGUUGUGGGUCUGAAGGAAGAAGAAGCAGUAUGAGAACAAUAAAAUAGAAUGGCAUUCUGGGAGAUAACCAAGAACACAGGGGAUGUGAAGCGUAAGUUACUGCAAGGUUUCCGAGACAGUUAAUCCCAGCAGUGCCCAGGUGGACAGGGGUCACUUAGGACUCUUAGGAGUUGGCUGCACACUGGAUUAAUGGGGUUUCUGAUAUUUUUCUUGAUUAGAAAUAUGCAGUUAUUCCUCAAAGUCUUUAUAUGUAGAUACUUUAUACACUUUAAGGGGCUCUCUUUCGCUCUCUUUCUCUUUCUCUCCCCCACUCCUCAUCUGUUCCUAUAAAAUGCCUGCAUUCUUUCUCAGCAAAGGUGAUCUACCCCAACCAGACAAAGCUGUGUGCCAUUUCCAAGAUGUUGCUGGCACUCGAACUUUCACUCAAGGUGUCUUACAUACCUUCUCCUCACUCUCAUUCAGAAUGUGCUUCCACAUUCUAUGCGCUCAGACUUCAAAAUCUCACCAACUUCAACAUCCAGGAGAAUAGAAGAGAUGGAAAUAAAGGAGGCAAGAAUGGUUUACAGAUCCAGCUGAAACCGAAUGGAAGGAAAGGCAGUGGAUUUCAUCAAGAUCCUACAGACAAGGCUGCCAAGUACUAUGAAAAACAACAACAACAACAACAACAAAAACUCAGGUUGACCAAUUGGAAACUCUAUAAAUCCAUGGAGUUCAACAUCAGGAGGACCUUUGGCAUUGUCUGGUGAUCCUUGUACUUGUCCUUCAACAGCUCCCAAAUCAGAAGGUAAACCUAUUCACUCUCACCUCAAGUCGAUGUUUCUACCAUUCCCCCCACUCUCAGCCAACAUCUUGCCUUCUAUUUCACAAAGCAAAAUAAAAUCCAAUAGACAGAAACAACUCUGACUUCCUGCCACUUUACCUACAUCCACCCUAAUCCUGACCACCUUUUUUCCUGAGCCUGAAAAAGAGGGAGCCCCAGAGCUCUGGAACCCAUCCUCUCUCACUUCCUCAAGCAUCUUGUUCCAUCAAUGAUCAACUCCAAU